rnacentral:rRNA from 1 species
GGGCUGGGAAAGACCGGUGCCAGCCGCCGCGGUAAUACCGGCAGCUCGAGUGGUCGUCGCUUUUAUUGGGCCUAAAACGUCCGUAGCCUGUUUGGUAAAUCUGUGGGUAAAUCAACCAGCUUAACUGGUUGAAUUCUGCAGAGACUGCCAGACUAGGGACCGGGAGAGGUGUGGGGUACUCUAGGGGUAGGGGUAAAAUCCUGUCAUCCUUAGAGGACCACCAGUUGCGAAGGCGCCACACUGGAACGGAUCCGACGGUCAGGGACGAAGCCUAGGGGCACGAACCGGAUUAGAUACCCGGGUAGUCCUAGGUGUAAACGCUGUGAACUUGGUGUCGGGAGUCCGCAAUGGGCCCCCGGUGCCGGAGUGAAGAUGUUAACUUCACUUCCUGGGAGCCCCCUGACAAGGCU